rfam:Stachybotrys chartarum IBT 40288 unplaced genomic scaffold scaffold887, whole genome shotgun sequence.
GGCCCAUUCAUCUAGUGGUUAGGAUGCUGGGUUUUGAUUCCAGAAACGUCAGUUCGAAUCUGGCAUGGACCU